AUAUAUAGAAAGUCAUAGUAUGACAUAGUAACUAUGGCUAGCCUUACGAGUUUUUGUGCACUAAUCAAGAGGGUUACAAAGACUUUUCUCUUUUUCAAUACAUCUCAAUCUUGAAUGCUUUCUUACUAGUUUAAGACUUUUUUUUACUCAUACUAAUUUUCUUUUCGGAUUUUUCUUUUUGUUUCACACUUUAGGCUUACUUAUAG
rnacentral:lncRNA from 1 species